AGGACGAACGCUGGCGGCGUGCUUAACACAUGCAAGUCGAACGGUAAGGCCUUUCGGGGGUACACGAGUGGCGAACGGGUGAGUAACACGUGGGUGAUCUGCCCUGCACUUUGGGAUAAGCCUGGGAAACUGGGUCUAAUACCGAAUAUGACCAUUGGUUGCAUGACUGGGUGGUGGAAAGCUUUUGCGGUGUGGGAUGGGCCCGCGGCCUAUCAGCUUGUUGGUGGGGUUAAGGCCUACCAAGGCGACGACGGGUAGCCGGCCUGAGAGGGUGUCCGGCCACACUGGGGACUGAGAUACGGCCCAGACUCCUACGGGAGGCAGCAGUGGGGAAUAUUGCACAAUGGGCGCAAGCCUGAUGCAGCGACGCCGCGUGAGGGACGACGGCCUUCGGGUUGUAAACCUCUUUCAGUAGGGACGAAGCGCAAGUGACGGUACCUACAGAAGAAGGACCGGCCAACUACGUGCCAGCAGCCGC
rnacentral:rRNA from 1 species